GUGAUCACUUCUGCAGCAUAUAUACUAAAAUUGGAACGAUACAGAGAUUAGCAUGACCCCUGUGCAAGGAUGACAAGAGAAA
ensembl:snRNA U6 U6 spliceosomal RNA